GUAAAACUGUACAUUCACUAGGUAUUUUCAGUCAUUUUACUGACUUCCACUAGGUAAGAAAAUACAAUUUCGUAUUAGUAUCUCGUGCUUGAGUGUAUGAAAAGAAACUUUCUACCCUACAUGCUGUACUGCCUCCUGUAUUUAGGUUUGUAAAAAUUUUCCAAGUAUAUAGCACAAGUGGAAGUAGUUUCUCAUCACUUAAAAUUGACUAGGUGUUAUAUAUUACAGACCAAAAUAGUACACACCUUAUUUAAAAGGGUUGAAACAUUUUUUUUAUUACAAUUGUCAAAGUCAUUUCACUAGUAACUCAGGAAUUAGGAACACUUUUUAUAUAUAUUUAUAUAUAUAUAUUUAAAUGCCUGCCAUUUUCAGUGUAUUGGCUGUACCCUAGCCAAAAACAAACCAAAAAAAAAAAAAAACAACCCAACCAAAAAACAGAAAGGAAAAAAAGAACACAACACACAGGGCGAGGAAGGGGACUGCAAAUUCACCCCACAAACCAGAUCCAAAGGAACACCCCAAAAAACCCCCCAGAAACAUUUGGUCACUAUUUACAAACAGCAAAAGAAAAGGUACCUACAAAAGCAGGGAAAGCAAUGGCUGAAAAUGGCAGUCAUUCACGGACAGGCAACAAAGAAAUCACUUUAUCAAUAUGCCAUUCUCACACCUGUUGCUGCAGAGGGAUGCUUUGCCUAGAUUUGGAGCACCCCCCAAAAAUGCUUACAAUGUAUUUUGUGACUGGCAGAGGUGGAAAACUCCAACAACCAGGGAUAUUCAGCUGUCUCAGAACAAAGCAUGUGUAUUUGGGGUAUCAUCCACUGAUCUUAAAACUUUUUUUCUUUAGGGAUGUCAACUAUCCACUCCAAUAAUAAGAAACAAAUUACCACUUGGUUUAUACUUACUAUUGCAGUUACAGGGACUAAGAGAGGGACAAAAAGAAAAUAAAAUAUAUUAAAUGAAUAGGAGGAGGAGUGGCAGUAAAAAUAGUAUUUUAUUCCCUUGCCCACCCAGUCUGCUUCUCCCUCUCAUUCCCACAGCAACAUUACAAUCAGGAAAAAAAAAAAAAGAAAAAAAAAGGUUGGGGGUGUGGGGAGGGGAAAUACAGGGUAAAAACAGUCAAAUCACAAUAGGAAAUUUUCAAAAUAGGUUAUUCAGUUUAGUCAUCUUCAUCUCCUUCGUCUUCGGGUUCUCGUUUCCUCUUCUGUCCCCGUUCUUCAUCGGGUUCUUCUUCAUCUUCAUCAUCAUCUACGUCACCAUCAUUAUAGCCUUCCUCAUCCUCCUCUUCCUCUCCGCUUACGUCCUCCUCUUCUCCUUCCUCUUCCUCCUCCUCAUCCUCUUCAUCUUCUACUACCUGAGCAUCAUCGUCAUACUCCUCUUCGUCUUCAUCUUCCUCCUCGUCGUCUAAGCCUUCCACGUAGCCCUCUGCAUCAGAGUCCGGUGCUUCUUUGUCAUCCCGAUCUUUCACUAGAGAUAAGACAUCUUCAUCUUCCUCCUCAUCGUCUAAGCCCUCCACGUAGCCCUCUGCAUCAGAGUCUGGUGCUUCUUUGUCAUCCCGAUCGUAGCCAUCGAGGUAUGUGAGUUGUGGGAGGAGCUUGAAUACGUUUUCUCUAUAAUCAUUCAAGUUGGUUACCUCGCAAUUGAAAAGAUCUAAACUCUUCAGGUUUUCUAACUUUUUCAGAGGUUCUAUUGUACCAAGAUCUUUUAUUUUGUUGCCACUUAGAUUUAGAUGCGUGAGGUUUGGACACUUUUCUGCCAACACUUCCAGUCCUCCUGAGACUCUGUUGUCACUUAGUUCGAGCUUCUUAAGUUUGUUUAACUUUGGUAAGUUUGCAACUGAGGCUAAGCCUACGUUGAUUGUACUCAAGAAUUCCAGCUCUUCAAACUCAUCUGUAAGGCCUUCAAUUUUGCCUUCGUAUGACCUACAGUUGUCAAGAACAAGUUCCUUAACCCUCCGCUCGUCCCGCCGCCGCGUCUCGCCGCCAGGAACCUCCUCCCGCCCGGCGACAGCGGCGACAAAAUGGCAGACGGCGGCGGUCCGUCAUGGAGGAGCCCCUCCGCGCCCCGGCCGCCCCCGCCGCGCCCCCUGAGGGGAGGGGAGGGCCGCGCUCC
rnacentral:lncRNA from 1 species